GAUGAACGCUGGCGGCGUGCCUAAUACAUGCAAGUCGAGCGGACCAAAGAGAGCUUGCUCUCUGAGGUUAGCGGCGGACGGGUGAGUAACACGUGGGUAACCUGCCUGUAAGACGGGGAUAACUUCGGGAAACCGAAGCUAAUACCGGAUAAUAAAGAGAAACGCCUGUUUCUUUUUUGAAAGUCGGCCUUGUGCUGACGCUUACAGAUGGGCCCGCGGCGCAUUAGUUAGUUGGUGAGGUAACGGCUCACCAAGGCGACGAUGCGUAGCCGACCUGAGAGGGUGAUCGGCCACACUGGGACUGAGACACGGCCCAGACUCCUACGGGAGGCAGCAGUAGGGAAUCUUCGGCAAUGGACGAAAGUCUGACCGAGCAACGCCGCGUGAGCGAUGAAGGCCUUCGGGUUGUAAAGCUCUGUUGUCAGAGAAGAACAAGUACCGGAGUAACUGCCGGUACCUUGACGGUACCUGACCAGAAAGCCACGGCUAACUACGUGCCAGCCGCCGCUGUAAAAC
rnacentral:rRNA from 1 species